rnacentral:rRNA from 1 species
GUAUGUCUACGGGGGGCAGCAGUGAGGAAUAUUGGUCAAUGGGCGGUAGCCUGAACCAGCCAAGUAGCGUGAAGGAUGAAGGUUCUAUGGAUUGUAAACUUCUUUUAUAAAGGAAUAAAGUGAGGCACGUGUGCCUUUUUGUAUGUACUUUAUGAAUAAGGAUCGGCUAACUCCGUGCCAGCAGCCGCGGUAAUACGUAGGUGGCAAGCGUUAUCCGGAAUUACUGGGUGUAAAGGGUGUGUAGGCGGGUUUGCAAGUCAGAUGUGAAAAUUAUGGGGUCAACCCAUAACCUGCGUCUGAAACUA